rnacentral:rRNA from 1 species
UACGGAGGGUGCAAGCGUUAAUCGGAAUUACUGGGCGUAAAGCGCACGCAGGUGGCUGAGUAAGUCGAUUGUGAAAGCCCUGGGCUUAGCCUGGGAAUUGCAGUCGAUACUGCUCGGCUAGAGUAUGGGAGAGGGUAGUGGAAUUCCCAGUGUAGCGGUGAAAUGCGUAGAUAUCGGGAGGAACAUCAGUGGCGAAGGCGGCUACCUGGCCCAAUACUGACACUCAGGUGCGACAGCGUGGGGAGCAAACAGG